AACGUAGGAGACAAACGUUAUCCGGAGUUACUGGGCGUAAAGGGCGUGUAGGUGGUGCUGUAAGUCUGGCGUGAAAUCCCUCGGCUUAACCGGGGAACUGCAUCUGAUACUGGAUGGCUUGAGUUCGGGAGAGGGAUGCGGAAUUCCAGGUGUAGCGGUGAAAUGCGUAGAUAUCUGGAGGAACACCGGUGGCGAAGGCGGCAUCCUGGACCGACACUGACGCUGAGGAGCGAAAGCCAGGGGAGCAAACGGG
rnacentral:rRNA from 1 species